CAUUUCAUUGAACCUGAAGAUUACAGAUAAUCCCAGGACACUGCUGAGAGGAGGGAAAUAACAUAUUCAAUAUGGCUUGCGUUAUGGAAAGCUGUGCCUGUUCUUUAGGGAUUGCAGGGGCGGCUGUUAAUGUUGCAGCGCAGGGCGUGGCUAUUUCCCCCUUUUGUGGCGCGCUGAUUGCUGGGGUGGCGGUAGUGGGGGUAGGAGUGGGAGUGGUCGUGGCCGUGGACCAUUUCAUGGAAAACAAGAAACAAAAGAAAGGCUGAUGGUCGAGUUCCUUCCUCCAAAAUCAACUGCAGAAACAUUGAUGAAGUUAGUAUUCUGCAAUAAAGAAUAAAGACAAAGA